rnacentral:ncRNA from 1 species
CCUCACAUUUUCAAAGUCCUCACAUUUUCUAAGUCCGUUCAGCCAGCCAGCCAGCCAGCCAGCCAGCUUGGACGCGGACCUACCAAAGCAAUUUUUGAAAAAAGCUUCCCUUCUUCUUUCUUUUCUCCUCACUCUCUUUUCCUCUCACCCUCCUCUUUCUCUCACUCUCACUUUCACUCUCUCCUCACUCUCCUCUUUCUUCAUCACCUCUCCUCUUUUUCCAUCACAUCACCUCUUUCUUCAUCACCUCCUCUUUCUUCAUCACAUCACCUCACCUCUUUCUUCAUCACCUCACCUCUUUCUUCAUCACCUCACCUCUUUCUUCAUCACCUCUCCUCUCCUCUCUUCUCUUCGCCUCACCGUUUUUCUCUUUCCACCAUCCUUCUUCCGUUUGUCGAGGUCGGUGCCCCGCUCUCGGAAAGACGAGACACUCUCCUCUCGGGGGACGCGCCCGUCUUUGCGGACAAUCCCCCGGUCGCGGGCCGAGUCUCAAUAGAUCGCAGUGUGGUGGCUGCUCUACUAAGUACGACACACCGACCAGUACCUAGGUCGUCUGCGGACGAUUUGGCACCUCCACCUUGAGCGCACGGGCUUCUCCGUGAUCGCAGUGAACUGGCCGGCGCCGGGUCCGUAUUCGGAGUUUUUGUGUUUCCCGACGGCCGGGACCGCUCUUGUUCGACCGUUUUUAAAAGUCUGACUGCUUGCCGGGGUAUUCGGUCGGCGGCGGGCCGGGAGGGGGACGCACGAAGUUCCCGCUUCUUCCUUUUUCGCUAUUUGUCAUGAAAUUUGGCAACCACCGCCUAGCGUGAUCUCCCUCGGCUCGAGGCGCGAACGAUAUCGUUGCCUGAAAUGCCUAGACGGGAUUCUGACUUAGAGGCGUUCAAAGAGUUCAAAGAGAGUCAUAGUUACUCCCGCGGCGGGAGUAACUAUGACUCUCUUUGAACUUAGUAAAUCGCCAUCCUCGGAUGUGUGAUCGAUUGUUGCCCAAUUCAUUUUUAACAACAUUGAUUGAGGAUUAACACUCUUUGGUGCAGGUGGUUGUCAUCUGAGUGGCGGCAGAUUGAAGGGUUUAGUGGUCUGUUUUACAAAUGGCUGGCCGAGACUAAACCGGCGUAUAUUAGCGUCUCGGUCGGUCGGCGGAUUGUUCUACCUCCACGUGGUCCCUGCUGGGCAACGUUCCUCCACCUGGCGACUUCUGGCUUUCUGCUCGCGUUCACCGGAGAGUGAGUGCUCGAGCGGGGGUUGGAGACGGCUGGGUAAAACGUGGCCCUGCGUAUUGUACCACCCACGGGAGAGAGCGGCGAAAUGAACCUAAUCCGCCCCCCGGCAGAGUGGCAGCUGCCGGGGCCUCCUGGGUCGAUGUUUGGUGUUUGUUGCAUCGGCCUGGGGGUUCUCCUGGGCCUGGUCUCGAAGCUUGAGUGGAAAUGGCAGAUGCUCUGAAAAGAGGGGACAUAUGGAAUCAAUUAAGAACUGGGAGAGACGGGAGACUCUCAGCGGUGGGCACCUCUGUAGGGUAGCCUACAAGUGCCUCCAGGCUCUCUCGAGCUGCACGUUAUCAACGGUGAUAUAAAAUACCGGAAACGUUCGUCGCUCUAUAGCGGCACAAGAAUUAAGGUAGCCAAAUGCCUCGUCAUCUAAUUAGUGACGCGCAUGAAUGGAUUAACGAGAUUCCCACUUUCCCUAUCUACUUUCUAGCGAAACCACAGCCAAGGGAACGGGCUUGGGAGAAUUAGCGGGGAAAGAAGACCCUGUUGAGCUUGACUCUAGUCUGGCACUGUGAAGAGACAUGAGAGGUGUAGCAUAAGUGGGAGGCGUUCGGCGCUACCGUUCGGCCUCAACAGUCGUUCGGGCCGUUCGCCGACAGUGAAAUACCACUAC